AACCAAGAAAUUUAGUCAUUCUUUUAUGGUAAAAAGACAGUUAGACAAAUAGUGAAAUUGUUAGAUCUUUAGUAAAGGAGUAAAAUCUAAAUACUAGAAGUUAUACCAGAUAUAAUUUAUUUAAGAUGUUGAACCUGUGACAGCUUUAAGGGAAACUGGGAUUGGAUACCCCAUUAUUUUUAGUUAUAAAUUUAGUUUAAGCUUACCAGAGUACUACGAAUAAAAAGUUUAAAACUCAAAGGGCUUGGCGGUGUUUUAGACCUCUCAGGGGAACCUGUCUCAUAAUCGACAAUCCACGUUAAACCUAACCUUUUGUAGUAAUACAGUUUGUAUACCGUCGUCGUCAGGUAACUUCUUAAAAUGUAGUAGUUAGCUUGAGAAUUUCAUUAAUUAAAACGUCAGAUCAAGGUGCAGCUAAUGAAAAGGUGAGGAUGGGUUACAAUUACAUAUUUGUAAAUACGGAAAAAUGUUUGAAACGAAGUGUUUUAAAGGAGGACUUGAAAGUAAUUUUGAUUAUAUAAGCAGAAUGAAUAAGGCUCUGAAACGUGC
rnacentral:rRNA from 1 species